rnacentral:rRNA from 1 species
UACGUAGGGUGCGAGCGUUAAUCGGAAUUACUGGGCGUAAAGCGUGCGUAGGCGGUUCUCCAAGUCCGUUGUGAAAGCCCCGGGCUCAACCUGGGAAUGGCAGUGGAAACUAGGGGACUGGAAUCUGGCAGAGGGGGGUGGAAUGCCGCGUGUAGCAGUGAAAUGCGUAGAUAUGCGGAGGAACACCGAUGGCGAAGGCAAUCCCCUGGGCCUGCACUGACGCUCAUGCACGAAAGCGUGGGGAGCAAACAGG